rnacentral:lncRNA from 1 species
AUUAGGUUUUGGGACUAGGGAAAGGUUUAAGGUUUUUGGCGUUAGGGUUAAAAUCACUGUCCAAAACCUUUGUAGGAACUUUUUUCCAACCUUUUGGAGUUGGUUACAACAACAAAAAAGUAAAAUGAAAAAAAAAUAUUUGGGGUGUUUGGGCUUCCUGAAGAUAAUACCCGGGUAUUAGAUUUUAAGGCUAUGGUAAGGUUUAAGUUUUUUGGCGUUAGGGUUACAAUCACUGUCCAAAACCUUUGUAGGAACUCUUUUCCAACCUUUUGGAGUUGGUUACACCAACAAAAAUGUAAAAUGAAAAAAAUAUAUAUUUGGGGUGUUCAGGCUUCCUAAAAGUAAUACCCGGGUAUUAGGUUAUGGGGCCAUGGUAAGGUUUAAGGUUUUUGGCGUUAGGGUUAAAAUCACUGUCCAAAACCUUUGUAGGAACUCUUUUCCAACCUUUUGGAGUUAGUUAGACCAAAAAAAAUGAAAAAUGAAAAAAAAAUAUUUGGGGUGUUCAGGCUUCCUUAAUGUAAUACCCGGGUAUUAGAUUUUAAUGCCAGGGUAAGGUUUAAGUUUUUUGGCGUUAGGGUUAAAAUCACUGUCCAAAACCUUUGUAGGAACUCUUUUCCAACCUUUUGGAGUUGGUUACACCAACAAAAAUGUAAAAUGAAAAACAAAUAUUUGGGGUGUUCGGGCUUCCUGAAGGUAAUACCCGGGAAUUAGGUUAUGGGGCUAGGGUAAGUUUUAAGGUUUUUGGCGUUAGGGUUAAAAUCACUGUCCAAAACCUUUGUAGGAACAUUUCCAACCUUUUGGAGUUAGUUUGACCAAAAAAAAAAGAAAAAUGAAAAAAAAAUAUUUGGGGUGUUCAGGCUUCCUAAAAGUAAUACCCGGGUAUUAGGUUAUGGGGCUAUGUUAAGGUUUAACGUUUUGGCGUUAGGGUUAAAAUCCCUGUCCAAAACCGUUGUAGGAACACUUUUCCAACCUUUUGGAAUUAGAUAAACCAAAAAAAAAUGAAAAAUGAAAAAAUAUAUAUUUGGGGUUUUCGGGCUUCCUGAAUGUAAUACCCGGGUAUUAGAUUUUAAGGCUAGGGUAAGGUUUAAGUUUUUUGGCGUUAGGGUUAAAAUCACUGUCCAAAACCUUUGUAGGAACUCUUUUCCAACCUUUUGGAGUUAGUUAGACCAAAAAAAAAAGAAAAAUGAAAAAAAAAUAUUUGGGGUGUUCAGGCUUCCUAAAAGUAAUAUCCAGGUAUUAGGUUAUGGGGCUAUGGUAAGGUUUAAGGUUUUUGGCGUUAGGGUUAAAAUCACUGUCCAAAACCUUUGUAGGAACUCUUUUCCAACCUUUUGGAGUUGGUUAGACCAAAAAAGAAUGAAAAAUGAAAAAAAAAUAUUUGGGGUGUUCGGGCUUCCUGAAGGUAAUACCCGGGUAUUAGGUUAUGGGGCUAUGGUAAGGUUUAAGGUUUUUGGCGUUAGGGUUAAAAUCACUGUCCAAAACCUUUGUAGGAACUCUUUUCCAACCUUUUGGAGUUGGUUACACCAACAAAAAUGUAAAAUGAAGAAAAAAAUAUUUGGGGUGUUCGGGCUUCCUGAAGGUAAUACCCGGGUAUUAGGUUAUGGGGCUAUGGUAAGGUUUAAGGUUUUUGGCGUUAGGGUUAAAAUCACUGUCCAAAACCUUUGUAGGAACUCUUUUCCAACCUUUUGGAGUUAGUUCGACCAAAAACAAAAUGAAAAAUGAAAUAAAAAUAUUUGGGGUGUUCAUGCUUCCUAAAAGUAAUACCCGGGUAUUAGGUUAUGGGGCUAUGGUAAGGUUUAACGUUUUGGCGUUAGGUUUAAAAUCACUGUCCAAAACCUUUGUAGGAACUCUUUUCCAACCUUUUGGAGUUAGUUAGACCAAAAAAAAAAUGAAAAAUGAAAAAAAAGUAUUUGGGGUUUUCGGGCUUCCUGAAUGUAAUACCCGGGUAUUAGAUUUUAAGGCUAGGGUAAGGUUUAAGUUUUUUGGCGUUAGGGUUAAAAUCACUGUCCAAAACCUUUGUAGGAACUCUUUUCCAACCUUUUGGAGUUGGUUACACCAAAAAAAAAGAAAAUGAAAAAAAAAAUAUUUGGGGUGUUCGGGCUUCCUGAAAGUAAUACCCAGGUAUUAGAUUUUAAGGCCAGGGUAAGGUUUAAGUUUUUUGGCGUUAGGGUUAAAAUCACUGUCCAAAACCUUUGUAGGAACUCUUUUCCAACCUUUUGGAGUUAGUUAGACCAAAAAAAAAAAGAAAAAUGAAAAAAAAAUAUUUGGGGUGUUCAGGCUUCCUAAAAGUAAUACCCAGGUAUUAGGUUAUGGGGCUAUGGUAAGGUUUAAGUUUUUUGGCGUUAGGGUUAAAAUCACUGUCCAAAACCUUUGUAGGAACUCUUUUCCAACCUUUUGGAGUUAGUUAGACCAAAAAAAAAUGAAAAAUUAAAAAACAAUAUUUGGGGUUUUCGGGGUUCCUGAAUGUAAUACCCGGGUAUUAGAUUUUGAGGCUAGGGUAAGGUUUAAGUUUUUUGGCAUUAGGGUUAAAAUCACUGUCCAAAACCUUUGUAGGAACUCUUUUCCAACCUUUUGGAGUUGGUUACACCAACAAAAAUGUAAAAAUGAAAAAAAAAUAUUUGGGGUGUUCAGGCUUCCUAAAAGUAAUACCCGGGUAUUAGGUUAUGGGCUAUGGUAAGGUUUAAGUUUUUGGCGUUAGGGUUAAAAUCACUGUCCAAAACCUUUGUAGGAACUCUUUUCCAACCUUUUGGAGUUAGUUAGACCAAAAAAAAUGUAAAAUGAAAAAAAAAAAUAUUUGGGGUGUUCGGGCUUCCUGAAGGUAAUACCCGGGUAUUAGAUUUCAAGGCUAGGGUAAGGUUUAAGUUUUUUGGCGUUAGGGUUAAAAUCACUGUCCAAAACCUUUGUAGGAACUCUUUUCCAACCUUUUGGAGUUAGUUACACCAACAAAAAUGAAAAAAGAAAAAAAAUUAUUGGGGGUUUUCGUGCUCCCUGAAAGUAAUACCUGGGUAUUAGGUUUUGGGACUAGGGAAAGGUUUAAGGUUUUUGGCGUUAGGGUUAAAAUCACUGUCCAAAACCUUUGUAGGAACUCUUUUCCAACCUUUUGGAGUUAGUUUGACCGAAAAAAAAAAGAAAAAUGAAAAAAUAUAUAUUUGGGGUUUUCGGGCUUCCUGAAUGUAAUACCCGGGUAUUAGAUUUUAAGGCUAGGGUAAGGUUUAAGUUUUUUGGCGUUAGGGUUAAAAUCACUGUCCAAAACCUUUGUAGGAACUCUUUUCCAACCUUUUGGAGUUGGUUAGACCAAAAAAAAAGUAAAAUGAAAAAAAAAUAUUUGGGGUGUUCAGGCUUCCUAAAAGUAAUACCCAGGUAUUAGAUUUUAAGGCCAGGGUAAGGUUUAAGGUUUUUGGCGUUAGGGUUAAAAUCACUGUCCAAAACCUUUGUAGGAACUCUUUUCCAACCUUUUGGAGUUAGUUAGACCAAAAAAAAUGAAAAAUUAAAAAACAAUAUUUGGGGUUUUCGGGGUUCCUGAAUGUAAUACCCGGGUAUUAGAUUUUGAGGCUAGGGUAAGGUUUAAGUUUUUUGGCAUUAGGGUUAAAAUCACUGUCCAAAACCUUUGUAGGAACUCUUUUCCAACCUUUUGGAGUUGGUUACACCAACAAAAAUGUAAAAUGAAGAAAAAAAUAUUUGGGGUGUUCAGGCUUCCUAAAAGUAAUACCCGGGUAUUAGGUUAUGGGGCUAUGGUAAGGUUUAAGGUUUUUGGCGUUAGGGUUAAAAUCACUGUCCAAAACCUUUGUAGGAACUCUUUUCCAACCUUUUGGAGUUGGUUACACCAAAAAAAAUGUAAAAUGAAAAAAAAAAAUAUUUGGGGUGUUCGGGCUUCCUGAAGGUAAUACCCGGGUAUUAGAUUUCAAGGCUAGGGUAAGGUUUAAGUUUUUUGGCGUUAGGGUUAAAAUCACUGUCCAAAACCUUUGUAGGAACUCUUUUCCAACCUUUUGGAGUUAGUUUGACCAAAAAAAAAGAAAAAUGAAAAAAAAAUAUUUGGGGUUUUCGGGCUUCCUGAAUGUAACCUGGGUAUUAGAUUUUAAGGCUAGGGUAAGGUUUAAGUUUUUUGGCGUUAGGGUUAAAAUCCCUGUCCAAAACCUUUGUAGGAACACUUUUCCAACCUUUUGGAAUUAGAUAAACCAAAAAAAAAUGAAAAAUGAAAAAAUAUAUAUUUGGGGUUUUCGGGCUUCCUGAAUGUAAUACCAGGGUAUUAGAUUUUAAGGCUAGGGUAAGGUUUAAGUUUUUUGGCGUUAGGGUUAAAAUCACUGUCCAAAACCUUUGUAGGAACUCUUUUCCAACCUUUUGGAGUUGGUUAGACCAAAAAAAAAUGUAAAAUGAACAAAAAAAUAUUUGGGGUGUUCGGGCUUCCUGAAGGUAAUACCCCGGUAUUAGAUUUUAAGGCUAGGGUAAGGUUUAAGUUUUUUGGCGUUAGGGUUAAAAUCACUGUCCAAAACCUUUGUAGGAACUCUUUUCCAACCUUUUGGAGUUGGUUACACCAAAAAAAAUGAAAAAAGAAAAAAAAAUUAUUGGGGGUUUUCGGGCUCCCUGAAAGUAAUACCCGGGUUUUAGGUUUUGGGACUAGGGAAAGGUUUAAGGUUUUUGGCGUUAGGGUUAAUAUCACUGUCCAAAACCUUUGUAGGAACUCUUUUCCAACCUUUUGGAGUUAGUUAGACCAAAAAAAAAAAGAAAAAUGAAAAAAAAAUAUUUGGGGUGUUCAGGCUUCCUAAAAGUAAUACCCGGGUAUUAGGUUAUGGGGCUAUGGUAAGGUUUAAAGUUUAUGGCAUUAGGUUUAAAAUCACUGUCCAAAACCUUUGUAGGAACUCUUUUCCAACCUUUUGGAGUUAGUUACACCAACAAAAAGAAUGAAAAAUGAAAAAAAAAAUAUUUGGGGUUUCGGGCUUCCUGAAUGUAAUACCCGGGUAUUAGGUUAUGGGCUAGGGUAAGGUUUAAGGUUUUUGGCGUUAGGUUUAAAAUCACUGUCCAAAACCUUUGUAGGAACUUUUUUCCAACCUUUUGGAGUUGGUUACAACAACAAAAAAGUAAAAUGAAAAAAAAAUAUUUGGGGUGUUCGGGCUUCCUGAAGUAAUACCCGGGUAUUAGAUUUUAAGGCUAUGGUAAGGUUUAAGUUUUUUGGCGUUAGGGUUAAAAUCACUGUCCAAAACCUUUGUAGGAACUCUUUUCCAACCUUUUGGAGUUGGUUACACCAAAAAAAAUGUAAAAUGAAAAAAAUAUAUAUUUGGGGUGUUCAGGCUUCCUAAAAGUAAUACCCGGGUAUUAGGUUAUGGGGCCAUGGUAAGGUUUAAGGUUUUUGGCGUUAGGGUUAAAAUCACUGUCCAAAACCUUUGUAGGAACUCUUUUCCAACCUUUUGGAGUUAGUUAGACCAAAAAAAAUGAAAAAUGAAAAAAAAAUAUUUGGGGUGUUCAGGCUUCCUUAAUGUAAUACCCGGGUAUUAGAUUUUAAUGCCAGGGUAAGGUUUAAGUUUUUUGGCGUUAGGGUUAAAAUCACUGUCCAAAACCUUUGUAGGAACUCUUUUCCAACCUUUUGGAGUUGGUUACACCAACAAAAAUGUAAAAUGAAAAACAAAUAUUUGGGGUGUUCGGGCUUCCUAAAAGUAAUACCCAGGUAUUAGGUUAUGGGGCUAUGGUAAGGUUUAAGGUUUUUGGCGUUAGGGUUAAAAUCACUGUCCAAAACCUUUGUAGGAACUCUUUUCCAACCUUUUGGAGUUAGUUAGACCAAAAAAAAAAGAAAAAUGAAAAAAAAAUAUUUGGGGUGUUCAGGCUUCCUAAAAGUAAUACCAGGGUAUUAGGUUAUGGGGCUAUGGUAAGGUUUAAGGUUUUUGGCGUUAGGGUUAAAAUCACUGUCCAAAACCUUUGUAGGAACUCUUUUCCAACCUUUUGGAGUUAGUUAGACCAAAAAAGAAUGAAAAAUGAAAAAAAAAUAUUUGGGGUGUUCGGGCUUCCUGAAGGUAAUACCCGGGUAUUAGGUUAUGGGGCUAUGGUAAGGUUUAAGGUUUUUGGCGUUAGGGUUAAAAUCACUGUCCAAAACCUUUGUAGGAACUCUUUUCCAACCUUUUGGAGUUGGUUACACCAAAAAAAAAUGUAAGAUGAAGAAAAAAAUAUUUUGGGUGUUCAGGCUUCCUGAAGGUAAUACCCGGGUAUUAGAUUUCAAGGCUAGGGUAAGGUUUAAGGUUUUUGGCGUUAGGGUUAAAAUCACUGUCCAAAACCUUUGUAGGAACUCUUUUCCAACCUUUUGGAGUUAGUUAGACCAAAAAAAAUGAAAAUGAAAAAAAAAUAUUUGGGGUGUUCGGGCUUCCUGAAGGUAAUACCCGGGUAUUAGGUUAUGGGGCUAGGGUAAGGUUUAAGGUUUUUGGCGUUAGGGUUAAAAUCACUGUCCAAAACCUUUGUAGGAACUCUUUUCCAACCUUUUGGAGUUAGUUAGACCAAAAAAAAAUGAAAAAUUAAAAAACAAUAUUUGGGGUUUUCGGGGUUCCUGAAUGUAAUACCCGGGUAUUAGAUUUUGAGGCUAGGGUAAGGUUUAAGGUUUUUGGCGUUAGGGUUAAAAUCACUGUCCAAAACCUUUGUAGGAACUCUUUUCCAACCUUUUGGAGUUGGUUAGACCAAAAAAAAAAUGUAAGAUGAAGAAAAAAAUAUUUUGGGUGUUCAGGCUUCCUGAAGGUAAUACCCGGGUAUUAGAUUUCAAGGCUAGGGUAAGGUUUAAGGUUUUUGGCGUUAGGGUUAAAAUCACUGUCCAAAACCUUUGUAGGAACUCUUUUCCAACCUUUUGGAGUUAGUUAGACCAAAAAAUAUGAAAAAAGAAAAAAAUAUUUGGGGUGUUCAGGCUUCCUGAAGGUAAUACCCGGGUAUUAGAUUUCAAGGCUAGGGUAAGGUUUAAGGUUUUUGGCGUUAGGGUUAAAAUCACUGUCCAAAACCUUUGUAGGAACUCUUUUCCAACCUUUUGGAGUUGGUUACACCAAAAAAAAAUGUAAAAUGAAAAACAAAUAUUUGGGGUGUUCAGGCUUCCUAAAAGUAAUACCCGGGUAUUAGGUUAUGGGGCUAUGGUAAGGUUUAAGGUUUUUGGCGUUAGGGUUAAAAUCACUGUCCAAAACCUUUGUAGGAACUCUUUUUCAACCUUUUGGAGUUAGUUAGACCAAAAAAAAAUGAAAAAUGAAAAAACAAUAUUUGGGGUUUUCAGGGUCCCUGAAAGUAAUACCCAGGGAUUAGAUUUUAAGGCUAGGGUAAGGUUUAAGUUUUUUGGCAUUAGGGUUAAAAUCACUGUCCAAAACCUUUGUAGGAACUCUUUUCCAACCUUUUGGAGUUAGUUACACCAAAAAAAAUGUAAAAUGAAAAAAAAAAUAUUUGGGGUGUUCGGGCUUCCUGAAAGUAAUACCCGGGUAUUAGAUUUUAAGGCCAGGGUAAGGUUUAAGUUUUUUGGCGUUAGGGUUAAAAUCACUGUCCAAAACCUUUGUAGGAACACUUUUCCAACCUUUUGGAGUUGGUUAGACCAAAAAAAAAAGAAAAAUGAAAAAAAAAUAUUUGGGGUGUUCAGGCUUCCUAAAAGUAAUACCCAGGUAUUAGGUUAUGGGGCUAUGGUAAGGUUUAAGUUUUUUUGGCGUUAGGGUUAAAAUCACUGUCCAAAACCUUUGUAGGAACUCUUUUCCAACCUUUUGGAGUUAGUUAGACCAAAAAAAAAUGAAAAAUGAAAAAAAAUAUUUGGGGUUUCGGGCUUCCUGAAUGUAAUACCCGGGUAUUAGAUUUUGAGGCUAGGGUAAGGUUUAAGUUUUUUGGCGUUAGGGUUAAAAUCACUGUCCAAAACCUUUGUAGGAACUCUUUUCCAACCUUUUGGAGUUGGUUACACCAACAAAAAUGUAAAAUGAAAAAAAAAUAUUUGGGGUGUUCAGGCUUCCUGAAGGUAAUACCCGGGUAUUAGGUUUUGGGCUAGGGUAAGGUUUAAGGUUUUUGGCGUUAGGGUUAAAAUCACUGUCCAAAACCUUUGUAGGAACUCUUUUCCAACCUUUUGGAGUUAGUUAGACCGAAAAAAAAAGAAAAAUGAAAAAAUAUAUAUUUGGGGUUUUCGGGCUUCCUGAAUGUAAUACCCGGGUAUUAGAUUUUAAGGCUAGGGUAAGGUUUAAGUUUUUUGGCGUUAGGGUUAAAAUCACUGUCCAAAACCUUUGUAGGAACACUUUUCCAACCUUUUGGAAUUAGAUAAACCAAAAAAAAAUGAAAAAUGAAAAAAUAUAUUUGGGGUUUUCGGGCUUCCUGAAUGUAAUACCCGGGUAUUAGAUUUUAAGGCUAGGGUAAGGUUUAAGUUUUUUGGCGUUAGGGUUAAAAUCACUGUCCAAAACCUUUGUAGGAACUCUUUUCCAACCUUUUGGAGUUGGUUACACCAAAAAAAAUGUAAAAUGAACAAAAAAAUAUUUGGGGUGUUCGGGCUUCCUGAAGGUAAUACCCCGGUAUUAGAUUUUAAGGCUAGGGUAAGGUUUAAGUUUUUUGGCGUUAGGGUUAAAAUCACUGUCCAAAACCUUUGUAGGAACUCUUUUCCAACCUUUUGGAGUUGGUUACACCAAAAAAAAUGAAAAAAGAAAAAAAAAUUAUUGGGGGUUUUCGGGCUCCAUGAAAGUAAUUCCCGGGUAUUAGGUUUUGGGACUAGGGAAAGGUUUAAGGUUUUUGGCGUUAGGGUUAAAAUCACUGUCCAAAACCUUUGUAGGAACUCUUUUCCAACCUUUUGGAGUUGGUUACAACAACAAAAAAGUAAAAUGAAAAAAAAAUAUUUGGGGUGUUUGGGCUUCCUGAAGGUAAUACCCGGGUAUUAGAUUUUAAGGCUAGGGUAAGGUUUAAGUUUUUUGGCGUUAGGGUUACAAUCACUGUCCAAAACCUUUGUAGGAACUCUUUUCCAACCUUUUGGAGUUGGUUACACCAACAAAAAUUUAAAAUGAAAAAAAUAUAUAUUUGGGGUGUUCAGGCUUCCUAAAAGUAAUACCCGGGUAUUAGGUUAUGGGGCCAUGGUAAGGUUUAAGGUUUUUGGCGUUAGGGUUAAAAUCACUGUCCAAAACCUUUGUAGGAACUCUUUUCCAACCUUUUGGAGUUAGUUAGACCAAAAAAAAUGAAAAAUGAAAAAAAAAUAUUUGGGGUGUUCAGGCUUCCUUAAUGUAAUACCCGGGUAUUAGAUUUUGAGGCUAGGGUAAGGUUUAAGUUUUUUGGCAUUAGGGUUAAAAUCACUGUCCAAAACCUUUGUAGGAACUCUUUUCCAACCUUUUGGAGUUGGUUACACCAACAAAAAUGUAAGAUGAAGAAAAAAUAUUUUGGGUGUUCAGGCUUCCUGAAGGUAAUACCCGGGUAUUAGAUUUUGAGGCUAGGGUAAGGUUUAAGUUUUUUGGCAUUAGGGUUAAAAUCACUGUCCAAAACCUUUGUAGGAACUCUUUUCCAACCUUUUGGAGUUAGUUACACCAACAAAAAUGUAAAAUGAAAAACAAAUAUUUGGGGUGUUCCGGCUUCCUGAAGGUAAUACCCGGGUAUUAGGUUUUGGGUCUGGGGUAAGGUUUAAGGUUUUUGGCGUUAGGGUUAAAAUCACUGUCCAAAACCUUUGUAGGAACUCUUUUCCAACCUUUUGGAGUUAGUUUGACCAAAAAAAAAAGAAAAAUGAAAAAAUAUAUAUUUGGGGUUUUCGGGCUUCAUGAAUGUAAUACCCGGGUAUUAGAUUUUAAGGCUAGAGUAAGGUUUAAGUUUUUUGGCGUUAGGGUUAAAAUCACUGUCCAAAACCUUUGUAGGAACUCUUUUCCAACCUUUUGGAGUUAGUUAGACCAAAAAAAAAUGAAAAAUGAAAAAAAAUAUUUGGGGUGUUCGGGCUUCCUGAAUGUAAUACCCGGGUAUUAGAUUUUGGGGCUAGGGUAAGGUUUAAGGUUUUUUGGCGUUAGGGUUAAAAUCACUGUCCAAAACCUUUGUAGGAACUCUUUUCCAACCUUUUGGAGUUAGUUAAACCAAAAAAAAAAUGAAAAAUGAAAAAAUAUAUAUUUGGGGUUUUCGGGCUUCCUGAAUGUAAUACCCG